UCGAGAAUAGUCUACAAUGGUCGAAAGACUGAUAGUGCGACGCCGCGUGAACGAAGAAGCCCUUCGGGGUGUAAAGUUCUUUUAUAUGUGAGCAAUGCCAGAUAGGUGAAUAGUCUGUUUGGAGCGAUAUUAGCAUAUGAAUAAGCAACGGCUAACUCCGUGCCAGCAGCCGCGGUAACACGGGGGUUGCAAGCGUUGUCCGGAAUUACUAGGCGUAAAGGGCAGGUAGGCGGAUCUAUAAGUUUAAUGUUUAAGGCAACGGCUCACCCGUUGUACGGCAUAGGAUACUGUAUAUCUGGAAUGCGGUUGAGGAAGACAGAAUUCCUGGUGUAGCGGUGGAAUGCGCAGAGAUCAGGAGGAAUACCAAAGGCGAAGGCAGUCUUCUAAGCCGAUAUUGACGCUAAACUGCGAAGGUGUGGGUAUCAAACA
rnacentral:rRNA from 1 species